rnacentral:rRNA from 1 species
UACGUAGGGGGCAAGCGUUGUCCGGAUUUAUUGGGCGUAAAGAGCGUGUAGGCGGCUAGGUAGGUCCGUUGUGAAAACUCGAGGCUCAACCUCGAGACGCCGAUGGAAACCAUCUAGCUAGAGUCCGGAAGAGGGGAGUGGAAUUCCUGGUGUAGCGGUGAAAUGCGCAGAUAUCAGGAAGAACACCCGUGGCUAAGGCGGCUCUCUAGUACGGUACUGACGCUGAGACGCGAAAGCGUGGGGAGCGAACAGG